UGCCAUAGCCAUAUCACCCUGCAGUUCAACACCGGUUACCCACUGAAGCUAAGCAGGGCUGAGCCUGGUCCGUACCUGGAUGGGAGACCACUGGAAGUGGUGUUAGUGAGAC
rnacentral:rRNA from 1 species